rnacentral:rRNA from 1 species
GACGAACGCUGGCGGCGUGCUUAACACAUGCAAGUCGAACGGAAAGGCCCUGCUUGCAGGGUACUCGAGUGGCGAACGGGUGAGUAACACGUGGGUGAUCUGCCCUGCACUUCGGGAUAAGCCUGGGAAACUGGGUCUAAUACCGGAUAGGAGCCAUUUUUAGUGUGAUGGUUGGAAAGUUUUUUCGGUGUAGGAUGAGCUCGCGGCCUAUCAGCUUGUUGGUGGGGUAAUGGCCUACCAAGGCGGCGACGGGUAGCCGGCGUGAGAGGGUGGACGGCCACACUGGAACUGAGACACGGUCCAGACUCCUACGGGAGGCCGCGGCAGGGACUGUUGCGCAAUGGGCGAAAGCUUGACGGAGGCACGCCGCGUGAGUGCUGAAGGGCCUCGGGUCGUAAAACUCUGUUAUUAGGGAAGAACAAAUGCGUAAGUAACUAUGCACGUCUUGACGGUACCUAAUCAGAAAGCCCCGGCUAACUACGUG